UACGAAGGGGGCUAGCGUUGCUCGGAUUCAUUGGGCGUAAAGGGUGUGUAGGUGGCGCGCUAAGUCGGGUGUGAAAUUUCGGAGCUUAACUCCGAAACUGCAUUCGAUACUGGCGUGCUUGAGGACUGGAGAGGAGACUGGAAUUCAUGGUGUAGCAGUGAAAUGCGUAGAGAUCAUGAGGAAGACCAGUGGCGAAGGCGGGGUCUCUGGACAGUUCCUGACACUGAGACACGAAGGCCAGGGGAGCAAACGGG
rnacentral:rRNA from 1 species